rnacentral:rRNA from 1 species
UACGUAGGGGGCUAGCGUUGUCCGGAUUUAUUGGGCGUAAAGAGCGUGUAGGCGGCCAGGUAGGUCCGUUGUGAAAACUGGAGGCUUAACCUCCAGCUGUCGAUGGAAACCAUCUGGCUAGAGUCCGGAAGAGGAGAGUGGAAUUCCUGGUGUAGCGGUGAAAUGCGCAGAUAUCAGGAAGAACACCCGUGGCGAAGGCGGCUCUCUGGGACGGUACUGACGCUGAGACGCGAAAGCGU